rnacentral:lncRNA from 1 species
AGAGUCCAGGUUGGCGGGUCCUGGGGCGGAGUCAGGAUAGGGCGAUCCUGGAAGCUGGGCUUCAGAAGCGUCCAGAUAGGGUCUCUCUCUCUGCCACCCAGGCCAGAGUGCAGUUGACGCAGGGCAGGGGAGCCCCGAAGUGGAGCAUAGUGUGUCCGGAACUGGUGGGUUCUUGGUCUCACUGACUUCAAGAAUGAAGCCGUGGACCCUCACGGUUCAAGCGAUUCUCCUGCCUCAGCCUCCAGAGUAGCUGGAACUACAGAUGCGCACCACCACGCCCAGAGAUGAGGUCUCGCUAAUUUGCCCAGGCUGGUCCUGAACUCCUGGGUUCAACUAAUUCUCCUGCCUCAGCCUCUCAAAGUGCUGGGAUUACAGGCAUGAGACACCACGCCAGGCUGGUGGUGAGUUUUAAAAUUUUCCAGUGCCUCAGUGUUUCUACCUGUAGAAUGCCAAAAAGUAGAUGGCAUCUUUGCGAGGAUGAAGCCGACUAGCUUUUUUUAAUUUUUUUUUGAGACAGAAUUUCUCUCUUGUCACCCAGGCUGGAGUGCAAUGGUGUGAUCUUGGCUCACUGCAACCUCUGCCUCCUGGAUUCAAGUGAUUCUCCUCUCUCAGCCUCCAAGUAGCUGGGAUUACAAAGCCAGCUAGCUUUAAGAUACAGUGUUGGGCAUCACAUUUUGGCACGGAGCAGGCACUCUUUUCUUUGCCCUCAGGUGGGACUUAGCCACCACAAGCCUUCCCUGGUGUGUGCAGUGGGUGAUGAAUGCUUGCCUGCUCAGCACCCACUACAUGGUGGGCUGGGUCACAUUACUCUGACUCCCCCUUGAGCUUCAGUCCGUGCCUGGUUCAAGAUGUAUUGACUCAACUCGAGGAUCCAGAGGUGGGAUGUGGCUCUGGCCUGGCCAGAGGACCGAAGAUGCUGCAUGCCAUGGCUACAGCAACUGGUUCAGCUUUGGGCUCAUGUCCUAGUCAGAGCCAAUGAGAUGUAAUCUUGGGAUAUCUGCUGGGCUGUUGGGAAGGGGACAGGCUGCCCUGCUCAUCCCCAUUCCUGAUGCUGAGGGAUCUGAGAAAAUCACUUGUAAAAUUCGGGGGUGUUUGGAAGAUGGGGAGACUGAUGUCUCCUUCUCUCUACAGACAUCUGAUCAGCUACAGAGCUUGACUGACCUACCCAGAGGCAGAAUGAUAUGGUGGUUAAAAGUGUGCCCUGGGCCGAGAUCUUGCCACUGCACUCCAGCCUGGGUGACAGAGUGAGACUCCAUCUCAAAAGAAAAAAAAAAGUGUGCUCUGGGCUGGUCGCAGGAGUUUAUGACUGUAAUCCCAGCAGUUUGGGAGGCUGAGGCAGGAGGAUCGCUUGAAGUCAGGAGUUUGAGAUCAGACCCUAUCUCUAGAAAAAUGUUUUAAAAAUUAGCUGGGUUGGUGGUGAAUGCCUGUAGUCCCAGCUACUCAGGAGGCUGAGGCGGGAAGAUUGCUGGAGCCCGGGAGUUCAAGGCUGCAGUGAGCCAUGAUCAGGCCACUGCACUCCAGUUUGAGGGACAGAGAGAGACCCCAUCUCCCUAAAGCACAAAAAAGUGUGCUCUGGUGCCACACUGCCUGGUUAGAUCCUUUGUCCACCACUUAGAUGCAUGUUAUAUAAAUGCUCUCCUCAGUUUCCUCAUCUGUAACUUGGGGAUGAUAAUGCUGCCCCAUUAAGUGGUUAUGGGGACUAAAUUCAUGUGGGCGCAUUGGUAAGUAUUCAACAAGCUUGAUUUUUUCCUGGAGAGGGAGAAAGAGCAUACAGUGAAGUGGCAUGCUCAGGUGCAUUGGGGCAAGGAUUAUUUCCUCUGGCUUCUGCCUCCUGGGAGGUACUAAGGAUGGAUCUGAAAUGUGUCUGCAGACCCCAGAGUUGGGGACUGCAGAGGGAAAUUGAGAUCAGGGACCCCAGUCUGGCAGAAAUGGGUGCAGCAUGGGGCAUUGGGUUCCUUCCAUCAGAGGCAUGGGGUGUGUUGCAGACAGUCAUGAGAUGUGGCUGAAUCUUGCAAGGGAGCUGCAGUCCUAGGGUUGCUGCUUGAGACAAUGACCGCUGUCAGUGGAACCUGGUGACCUUCACCCUUCUCUGUCAGGCUGCAGACAGCAAGAGAUGGCAGGAGGUUACACCCAACAGGAAAAGGGCCAUUGCUAUCCCACAGGUUGCCAUAGGAGGAGAUGACAUCUCUUCCCUCUCCUCCUCCAGCAGUGUCAGCUGGGGAAGAGGUGGGUGGGGGUGCACAAAAGAGUAGACCACAGACCAUGCUCCUUCUCCUCCAGUCUGCUGGGGCCCCAAGAGAGUCUGCAGCCCUUGGCCAGGGACCGGCUGAUACAGGAGAACAAAAGAUCUCAGUCUGGGAUAACAUGGUGGUGCAGCUGAUCCUCUGGAACUCCCUGUGAGAUCAGACUGGAGCCAGUCUCCAGCUGAGACCACAUCUCACUUAGCUCCUUCCCUGCCAUAUCCUGUUUUCCUUACUCCUAUCUACUGAGAGUCCUGAAUGAAUUACAUGCACUCAAUCCCUGCCUCAGGCUCUGCUUUUAGGGAACUUGACCUAAGACAGAUAUCUUAGUACUAAAUACUUUGCAAGGCCUCAGAAGCUCUGCUAUCCACAGGCAGGUGAGAUAUUACCUUCCCUACCACCUGGCAGUCAUAGUCUAUGAUGCGAUUCAGCUUUGUGGAAGUGCUUCUGUAAAGAACUUCCCCCAACUUAAGAUGAUCUUAAUUUGCUUACUUGUUUACUGUCCAUUUAGCUGCUGUAAAAUGUGAGCUCCAAAUCAGUGGUCAUGUCUGGUUAGUUACCCAUUUCCUGGGACCUAGAACGGGCCUAGCUCAGAGCAUGUGCUCACUAUUGAUGGAAUGCAUGUUGAAAGAACGCAUGAAUCUCAUCUCCUUUUGUGGGUGAAAAACUCAUCCUAUUCUCACUCCUGAUUAACUUUCCUUCUUUUUUUUUUUUUUUUUUUUUUUCAAAACGGAGCCAUGAUCUGUCACCCAGGCUGGAGUGCAAUGGUGUGAUCUCAUCUCGCUGCAACCUCUGCCUUCUGGAUUAAAGCAAUUCUCCUGCCUCAGCCUCCCGGGUAUCUGGGAUUACAGUUGCACGCCACCACACCUGGCUAAUUUUUUGUAUUUUUAAUAGAGACAGGGUUUCACCAUGUUGGCCAGGCUUGUCUUGAACUCCUGACGUCGUGAUCUGCCUGCUUUGGCCUCCCAAAGUCCUGGGAUUACAGGCAUGAGCCACCGUACCCAGCCACUCUUGAUUAACUUAAUGGAAAUAUUUACAGAGAUUCUUUCUCUUCUGGGUUCUAGCGUCUUAUCUGUAACCUCUGCAGGUAAUACAUUUUCCUUCCUGAUAAAAGCAUUUCUAUGGUUGCUUUUACUUGCAAAUCCUCUAAUACUUAUUUAUUCCAUUUCUGAUUGGCAUUAGACAUAAUUCUCAAUUUUUAGUGACAGCACUUUUGUUAACUUACAUAUCAAUCGACUUUGCCUUGAAAUGUGACAUUGACUAGAAGGAUGAAACUUCUAACAUGCUGUAGAACAUAGUUUCACUGGCUAACUUAUUAUUUAGAAGAAGCUAAUAUUGCCAUUAUGAGGGACUUAGGUGGCUCUGAAGAACCAGUUGUAUUUCUGAUGUUUGCAAUGUUAAAUCACAGAUAUUGCCAAUGUGAAAUAGGUUCUGUAUGCUGUGUUCUCAAUACACACCUUUUCCAAAGAUAUCCCAAGCUGUAGUCUUAGGAAACUGUGAUUUUUCUUAUUUGGUCUCAUAGGAAUUUGGGGAGCUAUGCAGGAUCUCCAUAAAAUGAGCUCCAGAAAGACACAUGUGUGCACAUGCACACACACUCACACACACACUCACACAUGUACCACACCACAAUUGACUGUUUAUUUGGGACCCACGAUUAUCAGAAGUGCUAUUUUCAACAAACACUUCUGAGAAAUAAUCUGAACACUUAAUUGGAUGCAAAAGAGUCAGUAUUUACUAUUCUACCCUUUAAUUAGCAUAAUCAGUGUUUCCAGCAGCAAAAGUAAUUGGAAAAUCGCUAGUUUUAUUAGGUUAAUUAUUCUCCCUUAUCGUAGUGUGGCAUCAGCGUGGCUAUUAUUCUUAAAUUGCCUCUUUAAAACAAGGGCUGGUGCUUCUUACAGGCAAUUCCUAACUCUUGGGUUUUGUAGAGAGCCCAAAACUCUUUAGAACCUAUAAUUCAAGGAAAGGCUCCACUUUGGUUUUGCAUUUUGUCUGGUGUCUUUGGCUGACAGAAUUUAUGUCACAAGGUGCACAUAUUUGGGGGAGGCUCAUGGACAGCCCAUCGUGCUUGUGCUUUGGUAGGAAGUACGUGCCGUUAAGGGGAAGGAGAUAGUUACUGAUUCUAGGGAACAAUUGGGUAGAAAGAGAUGGACUCCCUGUGUUUGAAAUUCAAAACUCAAGCUUGGCUCUAAGUGUUUCCUUGCUUUGCUUUGCUCCAGGGGAGUCACUGAGCAGAACGAAGCGAGUUGCCUGAGAUUCUUCAAAGCCCCAGCCCUUUUGGAGGUUACAUUGUUAUUCUCAGAGCCUUUAUGAUGCAUAAUAAAGACCUAGCUUGUACCAAUAUUAGGAUGAGUUAUCUUGCUAUUAACAUUCUUUUAGGUAGAAGUUGCUGGUCCCAUCUUGCUCACAAUCCUCCAAAGUUUGAAAGUUAUUUUCCAGGAGACUUGGCUUGCACUGAGAGCUGCCCUCCCACUCUCUCUCCAAAUUUCCUCUUCGGAGUAGCCUAACAAGGUGCUGUCACAGACCCUUGUCAGCCACGAUGACCCCACCCAGACCAUCCCUCUGCUGUUUCACUCUUUGAUACUCUCUGGAGCUCUCUGGGGAGGGGUGAGACCUGCCGUCUUCUUUGUACGGUUUGCCCAGGUCUUACAGUCAUGGCUGGCUGCCUCUCUCUGAGAACUGGGACUCCUGAACUUGGUGAAAUACCUCAGCCAUCGAUCAUGUUGAAUUAUUGGGAACACUCAUUUAAAAUCCGAGCCUGUUCCAGAUAGACUCUCUCUCUUUCUGCCCUGACUGUGAGAGAAGCCCUGCUGGAUGGUGGAGAUGCUCGUGGGCUGUGAGCAAGGGAUGCAAAGGCUGCCGGGAAUCCCAUCUUUCCAGCAUCAUCUGCUAAGUCACAUUAGUUCCUGGGUAUCUGGAUGGGUUCUAGCAGCAUUACUGUCAUUGAAGGAAAAAUGAUAGCCAUAUUAAAGGUUAAUGCAGCAAUCUCCACAUAGGCUGCCUUGAAGGGACGCAGGACAAGGGUAGGUUUUCCUUGUGAUGGACAGGAGGCAGGCGGCCCUCCCACAGCCCUGCCUGGCAAUGCAGGUGUGUCCCCAAAAGGCACUGGGGGCCAGCUGGAGUGCUAUGCCGAGGCGGGCUGACCUGGGCCGUGGGUUCGCUGAUUGCAGCGGUUUCCUGCCAGCUCCUUGGAGAGCUGGCAGAUGGCCCAGCCCCACAGCAGGAGCCGCGAAUGGCAGAGCGACAUACAACAAUUUGAUAUCCACUUGCCAGAGGAGCCGGGUGUCAUCAGUCGCCUGGAUCUGUGCCCAACUUCUUUUUGCAUAAACACUUAUGAAUUCAGCCAAGAGGAAAAGCACUCUGAUUAUGAAUUGAGCAGAAGGAAACAAAGUUCUGCAGAUAAACACCAAUGAGACAAAAAAACACAAAUAAGAAAAAUGACAGAAAAGAAGAACCUUCCCAGAAGCCUCCUGCCAGUGAACGGCCACCAUAGCAAGAGCAUGGAGGCCCUGGGUUUUGAACUGUGAGAUAAGGAAGAUGAUGAAAACCUCCCUAGCAGCCAGGCAAGCACAAGAUUCCUGUGAAAUCCAGGUCUAAGUGUUUUGACUACAGAAGUAAUAUUAUGUCAUAGGUGAGAGCUGUGAGUUGCUGAACCCAAAGUGAGUUCAAAUCCAAGUUCUGCCUCCUGCAACCUUUGUGACUUUGAGAAGUUCCAACACCACUUUGUGCCUCAGUUUUCUCAUCUGUCAAAUGGGCAUAAUCACAGCUCUUGCCUCAGAGUUGUUGUAAAUUAAUACAUGUAAAGCACUGAAAUCAGCCUGGUAUACACUAAGUGUUAUGAACGUUAUUUUCUUGGAAGGACAGAACUUAUUUUCAUGGUCUAAGCCAGAAAAUCUAAAAAAUGUGAGAGAAGGGGAAAGAAUCUAGAGUGUCACCAUGAGGGGGAAAAGUCAACUUGAAGCAGGACAGGGUCAUUGACAAUUUCCUGUGAUUCUACAGCUGCCUUGUAAACUAUGGUAGCUCCUAGCCACUUGUUGUUUAGAUUUUGUGCUUUAGAAAUGAAUUAAGGCCGGACAUGGUGGCUCAUGCCUGUAAUCCCAGCACUUUGGGAGGCCAAGGUGGGCAGAUCACCUGAGGUCAGGCGUUCAAGAUCAGCCUGGCCAGCAUGGUGAAAUCCUGUCUCUACAAAAAUACAAAAAUUAGCCGGGCAUGAUGGCGGGUUCCUGUAAUCCUAGGUUCUCAGGAGGCUGAGGCAGGAGAAUUGCUUGAACCUGGGAGAUGGAGGUUGCAGUGAGACAAAGUUGUGCCACUGCACUCCAGCCUGGGGAAUAGAGUGAGAUUCUGUCUCAAAAAAAAAAAAAAUUAGGUAAAAUAAGAGAAAAUUGAAAAUUCAGCUCUUCAUUCUCACCAGCCACAUUUCAAGGGCUCAACAGCCCAUGUGGGUGGCUAGCAGCUCCCAUAUUGGACAGUGCAGAGUAGAGCAAGUCUGCCAUUGCAGAAUGUUUGAUUGGACCAUGACCGAAUAGUCUAAUGCAGUGGUCCCCAAUUUUUUUUAGCACCAAGGACCAGUUUCCAUGGAUUUUUGGGGGGAAGUUUCCGGAUGAUUCAAGUGCAUUAAAUUUAUUGUGUACUUUAUUUUUAUUGUUAUGAACAUUAUAAUAUAUAAUGAAAUCAUUAUACAACUCACCAUAAUGUAGAAUCAGUGGGAGCCCUGAGCUUGUUUUCCUGCAACUAGAUAAUCCCAUCUCAGGGUGGUAGGAGACAGUGACAGAUCAUCAGGCAUUAGAUUCUCAUAAGGAACACACAACCUGGAUCCCUUCCACAUGCAGUUCACAAUAGGGUUGGUGCUCCUAUGAGAAUCUAAUGCCACUGCUGAUCUGAUAGGAGACAGAGCUCAGCCAGGGGGAUCAGCUGUAAAUACAGAUGAAGCUUCACUCGCUAGCCUGCUGCUCACCUCCUUCUGUGCAACCCAGUUCCUAACAGGCCACAGACCACUACUGGUCCGUGGUCUGGGGACUAGGGACCUCUGGUCUAUUGGAUAACACUGGCUUGGAGCAUACUGAUCAGCCAAAGAAGUGCUGAGAUGAUUUGGCCUCCGUUAGUAAGAAUGAUGGACCUUUUUUUUUUUUUUUUUUUUUGGAGACAGAGUUUCACUCUUGUUGCCCAGGCUGGAGUGCAGUGGCACCAUCUUGGCUCACUGCAACCUCUGCCUCCCAGGUUCAAGUGAUUCUCAUGCCUCAGCCUCCCAAGUAGCCGGAAUUACAGGUGCCUGCCACCAUGCCUGGCUAAUUUUUGUAUUUUUAGUAGAGUCGGGGUUUUGCCAUGUUGACCAGGCUGGUCUUGAAUUCCUGACCUCAAGUGAUCCGCCUGCCUUGGUCUCCCGAAGUGCUGGGAUUACAGGCGUGAGACACCGCACCGGGCCAGAUGGACUUUUUUUAAGCAUUUAGUUCCAAGCACUUUCCCUGCACUUUCUCAGUUAAUCCUCUCAGUGACUCUUUGAAGCAGGGAGUAUGACAAUCUUAACUUCCCAGAUGGAGCAACUCAGGCAGAGAGAGCAAGUCAUUGGCCACGGUCGCCCAGCUGAGGAGGGAUGGAGCCAGCUGAGAUCCUCUUCUAGGGAGCUAACACUGCAGCCUGCAUUCUGGGCUGUUGUAUUCUCCCAUGUUGCUAUCUGACGAGCACAGCAUGGGCUCAGAGUACAGAGAGGAGGAACCAGGUAAUAAGGAUAGGUCUGGGGUGAAGGCUGGUGCCUUGGGGAAGAAGAGAGAGGCCCCAUUCUAAAGGGAUGCCAUUGGAAGCUCAUAGUGAUAAAGCAAAGCCGACAGGUUUUGGGACUGGGAGUUAAGCACACAGUUCUGGUUUCUGCCUUUUCACAGUGGUGAUGAAUGGGCACUGAGACCCUCUCAAGCUAAAGUUGUCAUCAUUGCUCUUCAUAGUCUGAAGGUGCAUGAAAUGGUCAACUUUCUUCCAAAGGGCUUUUAUGCCUAAGUCUGUGGAUAGUGUAUAAACAGAUAUUUACUGAAUUCCUGCUGGGUGCAGACACUGUGGCCAGCCCUGAGGCUACAGUCGAGAUGAAGCCAGUCUCUGUCCUCAUGGAGACCUAUCUAUUGAUAAGAAAAGAGAAAGCUCACUGAGCAUUGACCCUGUGCCCACUGCUUUUGAUGCAUCUCUCAUUUAAUCCUUCUAUCAAAUCGGUGAAAUAAACACAUCACCAUCAUCCCUAUUUCACAUUUAGGGAAACAUAUGCUUAGAGAGGGUAAGUAACUUGGUCAAGGUCGCACAGCUUCGAACUCUCAUCCCACAGGUGCAGGAAUGAGAGGCAGCAGCCGGGGAAGCCAGGGUCUCCGGAAGUCCUUGUCUCUGGGCGGUGAUCCAGAGAGAGAGAGAGAACACGAUUGUCUCAGCAAUGGGUCUUCUUCUGAGUCUUGAAGGAGCACUUCCAGAGCCUCUCAGUGUUAAACAUCGUGUUGUGAAUGACUCCGUGAGCUCUGACCCAGUGACCUUGGGGAUAAAGGAGGGGAGGUACGGAUAAGCUCUUCGAAUGGAUGUUGCCGGGGUGUCAGUGUUCUUUGAGGGCACAGACUAUGUGUCACUAAAGAAAGAGCCCAGUGCCUUUUCUCAUUGCUCAAGAGAUUGAAGGGGUAGUAAGAAAAGAUGUUAAGUUAUAAACACGUUUCAGUUUUGGUACCAGUUGAACCAAUUUACGUUUUGAAGAGGAAAGAGUCUUGCCUACAAUGUCAGCCCCCGGGUUUUCCUUCUGCUUAUGGAAUCCAGGCAAUGGGCAAAGAGAAAAAGAAAACUAAGGAAUCAGCCAGGUGCAGUGGCUCAUGCUUGUGAUCUUGGCACUUUGGGAAGCUGAGGCAGGUGGACUUCUUGAGUGCAGCAGUUCAAGACCAGCCUGGCCAACAUAGUGAGACCCCGUUUCUACAAAAAAUACAAAAAGUUGCUGAGCAUGGUGACAUGCACCUGUAGUCCCAGUUACUUGGGAGGCUGAGGUGGGAGAACUACUUCAUCCCAGGAGGCUGAGGCUGCAGCGAGCCAUGAUCGUGCCACUAUACUCCUGCCUGGGUGGCAGAGUGAGGCCCUGUCUCAAAAGAAAACAAAAAAGAUAAAAAGAAAACUAGGGAAUCUAGACAGCAUAAGUUUAUAUAUAUAAUAAAGAACUGAGAUAGAACUGGGUUGACUGAGUAAUUAUUUGAACUGCUUUUGACUGAAUUUUUCCUAUUGGAGUCAACCUUUGUUUGUGUGUGUGUGUGUGUGUGUGUGUGUGUGUGUGUGCGUUUGGUUUAGUUUUGUCUUUGUGUUUUUUUGAGACUGGGCCUUCUUCUGUUGUCUAGGCUGCUGGAGUGCAGUGGCAUGAUCUCAGCUCACUGCAACCUCUGCCUCCCGGGUUCCAGCAAUUCUUCUGCCUCAGCCUCCCAGUAGCUGGGACUAUUGGGCAUGUACCACCAAGCCCAGCUAAUUUUUGUGUUUUUACUAGAGAUGGGGUUUCACCAUGUUGGCCAGGCCUGGUCUUGAACUCCUGGGCUCAAGUGAUCCGCCUGCCUCGGCCUCCCAAAGUGCUGGGAUUACAGGUGUGAGUCCCUGCGCCCAGCUAGAGUCUACCUUUCUUUGAAUUCACUGCAGUGCAAAGACUGGGACAUGUGGAACUCCAGGUGUGUAUGGGUUACAUAGAGAUGCUAGGGGCUGAUUAAGGAAGGAAAGAUAUGAGAAGCCUGCAGAGCAUGCUUUCCCAGACUGUAUGGGCCCUGGGAAAGGAGAAGUGGACAGAAAGGGAACACUGGGUGCCCUGGAAGAGAAGAUUCAUCCAGGUCAUCAGGGAAGUUACUAAUGCAAGGGAAGAAAUGCAGAGUCAGGGCCAAACACGCUUCUUCCAAGUCCUUUCUGUCUGCUCAGUCACCUCUAUGCUUAUUUUUCUUCUUUCCUGUAAGUAGUGCCACGUGUUUUCUCCCCAUUCCUAGUCACUCCUAGUCAACUAACUCCUCUCUUUACCAUCUUUUCAUCAGAACUUGAAACCUCCUCUCCUUCAUGUAUUAGUGAUCAUGUUUCUCCAUAAUACUGCUAGAAACAAGAAUUGAAACCUGGAAAACCUGCAUUUGAAUACCAGAUCUGCCUCUGCUAACUAUUUGAGAAUUUAUUUUGUUCAAUUCUUUUUGUUGUUGUUGAAACAGGGUGUCACUCUGUCGCCCAGGCUGGAAUGCAGUGGUUCAAUCUUGACUCGCUGCAGCCUCAACCUCCUGGGCUCAAUCCAUCCUUCCACAUCAGCCUCCUGAGUAGCUGGGACUAAAGGUGUGUGUCACCACACCUGGCUAAUUUUUAAUGUUUAUUUUUUUUGUUUACUUAUUUGUUUUUGUAGAGAUGGGGUCUUGCUAUGUUGCACAGGCUGGUCUCAAACUCGUGGGCUCAGGCGAUCCUCCUGCCUUGGCCUCUCGGAUAAAAUGGGAAAAGUUCCCUUGUCCCCCUCGAAGGGCAUGCGAUGGAGGUGUGGUUCGCUUCAUCAGUGCCCCAUUGCUCAAACCUCUAGGGGAGCAUGAAGACAGGCAGGGAGCCCCAUGGCAGUGUCUAGGGGUGAAUGUUUAUAGUUGAAGCCCCAGUGGGCGUGUGUUACAGGGUGCUCUUUUAGUUUAGCCAUCCGUAGGUAGCUUGUGUUAGUCGGCUCAAUUAGACCCCCGCCUUAUUGCAAAGACAGAGGGCUCUCUUUGUCCCGGGGUUCUUGCCUUGGUGUACCGGAAGUGGUGCGAUCUCAACUCACUGCAAGCUCCGCCUCCCGGGUUCACACCAUUCUCCUGCCUCAGCCUCCCGAGUGGCUGGGGCUACAGGCGCCCACCACCACGCCCAGCUAAUUUUUUUGUAUUUUUAGUAGAGGUGGGGUUUCACCGUGUUAGCCAAGAUGGUCUCGAUCUCCUGACCUCGUGAUCCACCCGCCUUGGCCUCCCAAAGUGCUGGGAUUACAGGCGUGAGAGUGCUAGGUUUUAUUGAGUGGAAGUAGCUCUCAGCAGAUGGGGGAGCCAGAAGGAAGAUGGUUUUCCCCUGGAGUCGGGCAAGUGACCUGACUCUUUUCCGACUGUCCCAGCCAAACUCUGCCUUGUUCUGCCAGUCAGUGGCCUGCGGUGUGCCGGUGCCCAUUGGUGCGUUCCUCUUGACAUGCAGCGCCCAUGUGUUCCUCUGCUGAUAUGCUCCUCUUGAAGUCUAGCUGCCUGUGUGUCUGCCUUCUAGGGUCUCAGGGUUUUUAUAGGCACAGAAUGGGGGUGUGGCAUCCAAGGUGGUCUUCGGAAAUGCAACAUUUGGUCAGGAAAACAAAAAUCCCUGUCCUCACCUAGGUCCUUGGGCACAGGCCCUGGGGUGGAGCACUAGCCAGCGACCACACCCUCCUCUACCCAGUACUUCCCUUCCUCACUUCCAUAUCAUUUAAAGGGACCACAUUCUUCCCUUCCGAGCACUUCCCUUCUGUAUCACAAAGUGCUGGGGUUAUAAGCAUGAGCCACUGGUCCCAGCCAAUUCCAUUCUUUUAACGCAAACUAGAAAAUAAGUGUUCAGAAAGGCCUGCCUUAUCCACCUCAGGGAGUUGCUAUGAAGAUCAAGUUAGAUCAUAUGCAACAGAAGUUUAGAAAAGAUUCCAAAAGCACUGCACAAUGGGAAUGUAUUUUUAAACUCUACUGAGUGGACUUAAAAGUAUGUUUUUUACUUUCUUUUUUUUGUUUGAGACAGAGUUUCACUCUUGUUGCCUAGGCUGGAGUGCAAUGAUGCCAUCUUGGCUCACUGCAACCUCCGCCUCCCAGGUUCAAGUGACUCUCUGCCUCAGCCUCCCAAGUAACUGGGAUUACAGGCGCCCACCACCAUGCCUGACUAAUUGCUUUUUUUUUCUUUUUGUCUUUUUAGUAGAGAUGGGGUUUCACAGUGUUGGCCAGGCUGGUCUCGAACUCCUGACCUUAGCUGAUCCACCCACCUUGGCGUCCCAGAGUGCUGGGAUUAAGGCUUGAGCCACCACACCCAACCUGUGUUUCUUUUUUAAGCAAGAAAACAAAUGCCUCUCCCCAGCUCUCACUAAACCAAUCCCUCUUUUUUUUUUUUUUUUUUCCCAUAGGAUUCUUUUCCUUCUUGCCCCAGUGCAAACAUUCUAUUUUCUUUUGGCCCUUCUGUCCAUCUGUGAAAGGGUCAGGCUUUCUAGCUAACCCGUAAUCAAAUAUUUUUGAUGACCACAGUCAAGACAGUACUUAUUAUUUUUUUUGAGAUGGAGUUUCGCUCUUGUUGCCCAGGCUGGAGUGCAAUGGUGCAAUCUCAGCUCACUGCAACUUCUGCCUCCAGGGUUCAAGUGAUUCUUUUGCCUCAGCCUCCCAAGUAGCUGGGAUUACAGGUGCACAACACCACGCCCAGCUAAUUUUUGUAUUUUUAGUAGAGAUGGGGUCUCUCUAUGUUGGUCAGGCUGAUCUUGAGCUCCUGACCUCAGGUGAUCUACCCACCUCAGCCUACCAAGUUGCUGGGAUUACAGGGGUGAGCCACCCUGCCCAGCCAAGACAGUACUUAUUAAUGCCUGAAACACAUUCAGGAGCACAUGAGCUGGCUGUGGCUGUUCUAACAAAGUUCCCCAAAUGGGUGGCUCAGGACAACAGAAAGUCAUUCUCUCCAGUUCUGGAAGCUUGAUGUCUGAAAUGGGCAGGGCUGUGCUCCCUCUGAAGUCUCCAGGGAUGAAUCCUUCCUCGCCUCUUCUGGCUUCUGGUGGUUGCUGGAAAUCCUUGGCUUGUGGCCACAUCAUUCCAUUCUCUUCCUUCAUUCUCAUGUGGCCUUCUCCCCUGUGUGUCUCUGUCUCUUCUUCUCUUCCCAUGAGGAAGCCAUUAUUACUCCAUUUAAGGUCCACACUAUUCCAGUAUGACCUCUUUGUAAUUAAAUCUGCAGUGACCCUAUAUUCUUUUCUUUUUCUGAGAUGGAGUCUUGCUCUGUUGCCCAGGCUGGAGUUCAGUGGCACAGUCUCAGCUUGCUGCAACUCUGCCUCCUGGGUUCAAGUGAUUCUUCAGCCUCAGCCUCUGAAGUAGCUGGGAUUACAGGUGCAUGCCACCAUGCCUAGCUAAUUUUUGUGUUUUUAGUAGAGACAGGGUUUGGCCAUGCUAGCCAGGCUGGUCUCGAACUCCUGACCUCAAGUGAUCCUUCUGCCUCAGCCUCCCAAAAUGCUAAGAUUACAGGCAUGAGCCACCAUGCCCCAUCCCUAUUUUCUAAUAAGGUCACAUUCUGGGAUUCCUGGUGAAUGUGAAUUUUUGGAGGACAGUAUUCAGUCUAGCAAAAGGCAGGGCAUCCUCAUUUUCUUCCCUACUUCAGAAAUAAGGAAGUUAACUUCAACCCCUCGCAGAGAGAGAGAGAGGCUUCCUGAGCUUCCAACAAUCAAUUACCCAAAUAUUAGUCGCAGAAGAGCACUAAGGGUUGUGCACAGCACGUGGCCAGCCCGUUCUCAGAGUCUGUCAAGUUUAAGGUGAACGCUAAUACUGAAUGAGUUUUAAAAUGUAUUUGACAUUUUCUGGUCAUUGUAACAUGUUCUCACAUCGUGAUGGCUGGGGUUUCUCUCUCAGGUGUAAUCUGCGAAGUCAGAUGUGACACAGCCUGGGUGAGGUGGGCCAAGCUGGGAACUGGGUUAGGAGGGAAGCUGGGGAAUGAGCGCCAAGGUCUCAGAUCCCAAACUGGCUUUAGCCUGAUUCACCCAGAGGGACCUGGUAAAAAAUACACAUUCCAGGGCCCACCCCAGACCUAAUGAAUCAGAAUUACCUGGGAAGGAGCCUGGGGAGCUCUGUUUUCAGAAGCAGCCCAGCAGAAUCCUACCAUCAGACAGGGCUAGGAAACUGAGCUCAGGCUAGGGCAGUAGUUCCCAAACUCGUCUGUGCUUCAAAAAAUACAGAUGCUGAUGGCCAGUCAUGGUGGCUCACACCUGUGAUCCCAGCAAUUUGGGAGGCUGAGGGGGCAGGAUCACUUGAGCCCAGGAGUUUGAGACCAGCCUGGAGAACAUAGAGAGAUACUGUCUCUGUAAAAAAUUAAAAAAUUAGCCAGGCUUAGUGGUGCCCACCUGUGAUCCCAGCUACCCUGGAGGUUGAAGUGGGAGGGUUGCUUGAGCCCAG